rnacentral:lncRNA from 1 species
CUAGAGUUAGUUGUCUUUACUCUCAAAAGAGAUAUUAACAUAAUUUAGGGAUUUAUAUGGAUCAAGGCACAAGUGAAUAAAUCAUUAAUUCAGAUUUAGAAUAAUAAGUGAAGUCUAGGUAGAUUCUUUCCUAGGUAUUGCUUAUCUCAUUGGUUUUAUUCGAUUAUUUUUCCUAAUUCAUUCUUUGUUGUGUUCUUAGUGAUUA